UACGGGGGGGGCAAGCGUUGUUCGGAAUUACUGGGCGUAAAGGGCGCGUAGGCGGCCUCUUAAGUCGAACGUGAAAUCCCCGGGCUCAACCCGGGAACUGCGUCCGAUACUGGGAGGCUUGAAUCCGGGAGAGGGAUGUGGAAUUCCAGGUGUAGCGGUGAAAUGCGUAGAUAUCUGGAGGAACACCGGUGGCGAAGGCGGCAUCCUGGACCGGUAUUGACGCUGAGGCGCGAAAGCUAGGGGAGCAAACGGG
rnacentral:rRNA from 1 species